GACGUAGGGUGCAAGCGUUGUCCGGAAUUAUUGGGCGUAAAGAGUUCGUAGGCGGUUACUUAAGUCUGGUGUUAAAGCCCGAUGCUCAACGUCGGCAUGGCAUUGGAAACUGGGUAGCUAGAGUGUGUCAGAGGUUACGGGAAUUCCUGGUGUAGCGGUGAAAUGCGUAGAUAUCGUAAGGAAGACCAGUGGCGAAGGCGGGUCUCUGGACAGUUCCUGACGCUGAGGCACGAAGGCCAGGGGAGCAAACGGG
rnacentral:rRNA from 1 species